ACGCUCGACACCUACGGGAGGCAGCAGUGGGGAAUAUUGCACAAUGGGGGGAACCCUGAUGCAGCGACGCCGCGUGAGGGAAGAAGGUUUUCGGAUUGUAAACCUCUGUCCUUGGUGACGAUAAUGACGGUAGCCAAGGAGGAAGCCACGGCUAACUACGUGCAAGCAGCCGCGGUAAUCUGAGCGGGCUGGCAAGGC
rnacentral:rRNA from 1 species